UGGGGAAUAUUGCACAAUGGGGGGAACCCUGAUGCAGCGACGCCGCGUGGGUGAAGGAGUAUUUCGGUAUGUAAAGCCCUAUCAGCAGGGAAGACAAUGACGGUACCUGACUAAGAAGCCCCGGCUAACUACGUGCCAGCAGCCGCGGUAAUACGUAGGGGGCAAGCGUUAUCCGGAUUUACUGGGUGUAAAGGGAGCGUAGACGGCAGCGCAAGCCUGGAGUGAAAGGAUGGGGCCCAACCCCAUGACUGCUCUGGGAACUGUGCGGCUAGAGUGCCGGAGGGGUAAGCGGAAUUCCUAGUGUAGCGGUGAAAUGCGUAGAUAUUAGGAGGAACACCAGUGGCGAAGGCGGCUUACUGGACGGUAACUGACGUUGAGGCUCGAAGGCGUGGGGAGCAAACAGGAUUAGAUACC
rnacentral:rRNA from 1 species